CAGCAGCCACGGGAAUACGAGGGGGGCAAGCGUUGCUCGGAAUUAUUGGGCGUAAAGGGUGCGUAGGCGGUUUGAUAAGUCAUCUGUGAAAUCUCUGGGCUCAACCCCGGAACUGCCUUUGAUACUGGAAGUCUUGAGUAUGGUAGAGGUGAGUGGAAUUCCGAGUGUAGAGGUGAAAUUCGUAGAUAUUCGGAGGAACACCAGUGGCGAAGGCGGCUCACUGGACCAUUACUGACGCUGAGGUGCGAAAGCGUGGGGAGCAAACAGGAUUAGAUACCCGCGUAGUCCCUGUCUCUUAUAC
rnacentral:rRNA from 1 species